CGUGCUGUAGUUCAGCAGUAGAGUGCUUGCCUUGUGUGCUUGGGGACUUGGGUUCAAACCCCAGCACCACAA
rnacentral:tRNA from 1 species